AGCUGAGGAGCGGACGCAGCAAUGAGAAACUCAGCCCAAUCAUGUGGCCGACUGCAGUCUGGAAGACUUCCUGGGUGUGGAGUUUCUCUGAGUUUCUCAGAAAGGCAGAGGGAAGAUUUUUGUCAGUAGAAGGCACAUGGAAAGUCAGUCAUGUUAGUGAUCUUUCCUCCUCUGGCAGCUCCAGAGCCAGCUCCAGUUCAAGCUCAAAAGCCACCUUCAGAGUGUGUGUCAGGGCUAGGUCCACCACCAGCUCCAGCUGCAGCCUUAACCAGCCGCUCUAGGGAAAUCUGCAGAGCUGGAAGCAAGAGCAGCAACCACCGUAGCACCAGCUCCCGAGCUCCUUUGCAAGCUCCAUCAACAGCUCCAGCUCCAGGGCUAAGGCAGUCCCAGCAAGAGCACCAGAUCCAGCCAUGCAGCCACUGCAGGCUCUGGCCCCAACUCCAGCUCCAGAGCCCAAGCCAGUUCCAGCUCCAGGUCUUGAGACAACAACAGAACCUGCUGCUGUUUUGUUAUAACCAUCCUGACUGUUCCUAUGAAGGAUCCUUCUGCCUUUUCAUAACCUGUGUGCUGUUGUUUAAUUCUCAUGGAGAAUGACAAGUUCCACUAAAAUAUGCACAUGGCAUCUCCAAGAAACAGAAGCAAGAAUUAAAGUGAAGGGGUGGUAGGCAAAAAAGGCCAAGAAUGACCAUGAUUAGACCAAGGAACUUCCACUUCCAAGCCGUAGCUGGCUGCAUCCUCUUCAUGACUCUUGGGAAAAUAUUUUCUGUGGAGUCUAAAAGAAACAAAAAUACACCUGAAAAGAAAAAAAGGUAAGCAUUCCUUACAAAAGAGAAAAUUUCCCUUCCAUGUUAUGUGUCUACAGACAAAUAUUUUUCUUCACAUGCACUUUUGGAGUAAGGACUAUAUGCGUAGCUAUAGUUUACACCUGUAUAUACUCAGGAAGUAUUUGGAUUAUGAUGGUAUGAUGAUAGUUGUUAAAGAAAGUUCUUUUGCAUGUGAAAAAGAAAGGGAAGACAAGGCAAACAGCAGUCUGUUCAGCAUUAUCCUUUCAAUGAAUUCUACCCUUUUAUACAAUAAAAAGCUGUGGCUGUAUUAUAGGCCCUGGGUUAAAUAAAAGCAAACCACACUCUUUGUUCAAUAAUAGUUUUAUUUACUUAUUUCACUGUUAACUUGGGGAUAAUAUUCACCACAAAGUUGCAGGCAUCAUUUUAUAGUACAGACUACAGACGAUUGACUUUUUCAAGAUUAAAAAUGAACAUGGUUUGUGACACACCUGAAAUGCCUACUGAGGAAGUGCUGGCCACGAGGUAAUAAAAAAAGGUAAAAUUCAGUGCCUUUGGCAAAGAUGUGGACACUGUUUUAGAUGCGAGUAUGAUACAUGCCCUUUGCUUACAAAGCAAAUAUACACCCAUCUGUUUUUGGACUGCGGUUUCUCUAUCCACCAGAGAGCAUCUUUAAAUGAUUCACAGACAUUUCCCUGAGAGCUUCCUGCCAAGAGAAAUCAGCAUGCUGAUUCACCAUCGUGGAAGCCCAUUUUUAUGUAAUUAUUCCUCAAGCCUGCACCAAACUUGGUAACAGUUCCUAUAUUUAAAAGAAAGAAGGGCUUUGCCCAAACUGUGGCCAUCACAUAGCUCUAAGCAGACGCCCAGAGGAAGUUUGAAGUGUUACAUGUAGGAGGCUGGAAAUGCCCAUGUACUGGAUGAGGAAUGGCUAGAAGGGAGAUCAUGUGUUUGAUUGCUUGCAGAACAGGAUAAAGGAUUGUCUCCUAAUAACUUUCCACGCCAAGCAAAACUACAUGCAAGGAUUUUUAAGCCAAACUACAGAUCUUCACUUGCACAGAAAACUAUGUUUAUGAACUCUCCAGGCCCUCCAGAUACUUCUUUUACUAAGGCAAGUAACCGAGAAGCCUGUUCCAAAAGAAUUAUCCCUUCCAUGAAUUCUACUGUUUUAUACAAUAAAAAGUUUGUCUUUGUUGACCAAUCCAGUAAAGUUUCUGAGUUCUAGGGAUAAAAAACAGAGUUAAUUUUCUUUUUCCUCUUUGGACUCUAAAUUAUUUGUUCACAACUUCAAAUCUAUUUAAAAUAUUUCUCCUUAUUGCUCAGUGAUAUUUUAUUAGAUAAGCAUCAUGUUUGUGAACACUUUCCACUUCCCAGCCAAAUAACUCCUGACUACAGUAGCAGCAUGGGACAUUGAUGUGCACAGAAUGUUGAUAAUAUUUGUUAUAUUAAUAAGGAGGUUAUUAGAUAUUCAACAUUUAUUGAAUAUAUGCAAUUUGCCAGAUUCUGUGUGAGCCACAGGAUACAGAGUGAUGAAUAAGACCCAAUUACUAUCAUCAAGGAACUCACAGAAUACAGGAUAAAAAGAGUUUUGAGUUUUGUAUGUGAACUGCAGAACUGCUAAGCAUUUUGGACUCCAAGAAAGAACAAUAGUAAGCUUUUAGAUUCUGGGGAUAAUCUUUUUAGCUGAAGCUAGGGUUGCCGGAUUAUAAUUUGGGUGCGGGAAGUUUUACUAAUGCUUCUUUGCAGUGGAGAGUAUGGCCCCUUUAUCUUUUAAAUAGAAUGCAACUGAGAUGUGAGCCCCUUUGAUUCUCUAGAUGAUUUUUUGGGGUGGUCUCAGCCCAGACCAGAGUGGUAGGGUCAGAACUUUGUGUGAGUCUCUGUGGUUCUACCAGAACAAACAUAGGCCUGAUAUUCUAGCAACGCAUUUGGAUGACUUCCAUAUAUCCAAAUACACUAUCCGUCUCUGCGCGAAGCUGUGAACGUGAUGUGUGCCUAAUAAUACUAACACUUGCUCAUUUCUGAGCCGUACAACAAAACACUGUGCAGUUACAAACUUACGUGGGGUAUAGUCAUUUUAUGAACUAGAUCUUCUUUUCUCAUUUUUAUUUUCUUAUCAUGAGCCUCCCUUCCCAGACAUUAACACUAAAGCCAGAAAAGGAAAAUGGAAUUCUCCAGUUCUAAAGAACAUUGGGUUACCAUUCUAGAAACCUUUCUCAGGUCUGCAAUGUUGACUCACACAUUAAUGCUGGGAGAGGCUGAAGAUUUAGAGUCAUCAGAACAGGAGAAGAGAGUGUAACUUAAGCGUGUAGAAAGGAAGCAGUAAACUUGUCCUUGAACCUAUUAAGGGCUAGAGUUGAUACUGUCUAAAUAAGUUUGUUGCACGUGGUAUUGGAGCAAAAUAUUCUUUCAGAGGAGGUGCUAGAAGUAGGGUUCUUUAGGUUAAAAAAAAAUAACUUUGGAGUGUUGUAAUCUAUACAGUUUCAGUUCUGUUAUGAGAAAUGCUAUUGCAAAACCAAAGCAAACACCUGCUACCUAGAAACUCUAUUUUGUGAGUUUGCCCGACCUCAGGUGCUGGGUUGGAGUGGUAUUUGAAACCAUACUACUCCGGGUUUGCCAACAAAUUUCAAAGCUUCCUUGGUUACCUUCCAAAUUUCAAGAUUUUGUGGUGUUGAAAUAGAGUAAGUAAAUAACUUUACAGAAUAUAAAAUCUGAAAUUUUCAAACAUUCACCCAAUAUACCAUUUUACUUUCGUCAUGGUAGCUGCUGACCUCAGUUUUGACCGAUUUGGCAUCAGAAGGCAAAUUAGAGAAGCUUCGGUGUUGUUGCUUAGUUUGAGCAAUGAGGAUAAAACCCAGAAAGUUUAGGUUAAGUGACAAGCAUUCCUAAGGACAUGUAACUAAGCAGUGACCAAACUGGUCCAGAAACUUCAGGUUCCUCAUCCUAAAUUCAUUGCUUCUUUGACUAUACUGCACUAUUUUCACUCGUCCUCUGAAGCUGCCAGGGGAAGAUUGUGCAAUUUCCUGGAAUAUGUCCCCAUCCUUGAAUCAUCUCUACUCAGAUAGGUACAGGACACCCUGACUGAUCCCUGGAAUCCUUCUCUGUGCCACUCUGGUAUUAGACUUCUCCGCUGUGACAGAGCCUUGGCAUCCUUCUUUCCUCCCUGAGUCAGAGCUGAAACAGCCAACUGUGCAUCAGAGCUCUGUGCUCCAGCUUCUCUCUCGAUACAUGAAGGGGCUUCCAGCGCUCUGCAGAGCAAUGAGCCCUGCACGAGGGCAACGUAGGAAGCCUGACAGAGAAAACUGAUAUGCCUUCUAGAUCUUUAGCCACAGCAGGGUCUAACGCUUAGGCUUCUUGUUUGUUUUCAUUCCGUCAGAGUCUACAACUAUUGUACACUAAAGGGUAAAGAGAAAUGAAAAAUAUGUAGAGAGUCAAGGCUGGGCUUAAGAGGCAAAGGGUGACUAGGAGAAUAGGGAGGACUAGCAUAGAGGCCACAGGGAGCUGAUGGGCAAAGGAGAGCAGAGCCGAGGGAUCUAGGGGACCAGAGAGAGCUCACUUCUCCUAACCAUCUGGCAAUGCCUGGAGAAUGGAGAUUGAGUGUGUGUGUGUGUGCUUGUGAGAGAGAGAGAAGGAAGAAGAGGGAGAAAGAGAGAGAGAGAGGCAGAGAGAGAGAGAGAGAUUCUCCAUGUGUAGUUUAUUUUAGGUUUGAUCAUUUUCUUCUUUCAAGCAAAGUGGCUAAUCUUGAAAUGUCUGCAAACCUCAUGCAUAUGGCAUGAAAUAAUUCGAUUCCCAAUUUGGGAUGAAGACAUUUUGAUCUUAGGUAAGUGCUGAAUAUCUCCUGUAAUGACAAGCCCUUUGAGAAAUGCACGUGUAACUAAGGUCCAAUUAUAAAUACUCACUACAUCUUCAAUUAUGCUUUUAAAUUAUUCAUAUUCAAAAGAACCUAUUUUGCUUGUUUUCUUUCUCUGAAAGUGACCCAAGAAAUGGACAUACCUUUCUAUAAAAUCAGUAGAUAGUAUUUAAAUGCAGCUUUCAUCCAUAAGAGGCUUAAAAACAAUUCUAUAAUAAAACCAGUAAAACAAAAAAGGGAGACCUAGAGUCUUGGAUUUGUUCCUUUUCUGCUAUUAUUAGCAUCACAAAAGGACAAGGAUAAGGAGAUAAUCAUGUUUAAGGAGAUUGGAAGUGACUCUCAAAGUUCUGUUAAAUUUCAGGGUUUCUCCUUUUCUCAAAUUUAAUUCUAUUUCUUUUUUUUUUUUAAUAAAAGAAACAGCCCUUUUGGGAGGGAGGCAAGAUAGGAGUUUCCAAAAGGAUGGGAAGUGCUGAAGUACUGGGACACUUGAAUAAGCUUUCACAUAUUUAUUAGUGCCAGGCCAACUUGAGAAAUAAAAUAUAGAUGCAAUUGCUUACUAGAUGUUUCACAGGUGGAUAAUAUGACAUUCUGUAGUUUGCUGUGUACAUAUUAGAAAAUCGUCUGUUUCUUUCUUGUUCUUUGGUUGAAUGUGGGCCCAAAAAAAUCAUUCUUACAAUUAUGCUGAUUGUUUUUUUUUUUCCCUGUGUAAAAUGAUUUCAGACACAAUGGUGGAGCUUUGUUCAGUUCCCAUCAGAUUUAACUAAAGAGUGGUUUUAAACAUUUACGUUGAAGUGACCGUUGACUUUUUAUUACCUAGAAAGAGUUAGGUGCUUGGUGAUGCCAACAGGAUGACAUGUUUCUUCUUCUUAGCCACAGGAAAGCUCCAAUAUACUCUAUUCAUUGCUCAAGUGGACCUUAAAGAAUCACUUUGAAAGGACACCAUGGCUGACGACUGAAGAGUCAUAUUUAUCAACAUUAAAUAAACACUUGGUGUAGUAUCCAUAAAUAUUUCUGCAUAUAAACAUAACACGAAAUUAAAUAGUUCAGAUACACAGACACCACUGAGUACACUUCUACUGUUGUCAAAGUCGUCUGUAAACACCACCUCACACUGAAUACAAAAGCAGCUUCUACCCAGCUCUGGGUUCACAACACGAAUGCCCUGUACAAAGGGAAGAUAUCUCCGCGGCCCUCCCACCUCCCUCCCCUCCCUCUCCCCAAACAGCCCCGGCAACAGGAAAAGAAACCCCAACAGCUACAGCAGCAACAACAACGACAAUGAUGGCAGCACCCCAUCCCCUCCCCAAAUGAAACAGUUAACAUUUUGGUCAAUUCAAGGGAGAAUGCAAAAAAACAAUUUUUUUUUUUUCCCAAAAGGUAAGGAAAUCAAUUUGAAGCAUUACUUUUCAGAGUGUAAUUCUUUCUUCAGAGGACAUGUAACUUCCUAAAACCUCACCUAUUCCUGGGUGAAGGUUACACAAUGAACACCAGAAAGCACUGGCCACAGCUGAUUAACAAAGGUGCAAGCCCUAUUUUCUUUGAGAAGGUGCCAUUCAGCAAGAAUCAAACACAAUGUUCUCCUUCAUUCUCUCUUACCAUGUUUUUUUUUUUGCUUUGCCAUAUAUAUAUAUAUACACAUAUAUAUAUAUUGCUGUGUAUGACAUUCAAACGUGACACUAUUAUUGAGUUUCAAGCAGUUUAGAUAGCAGAAAUUUUGUUCUGAAACAUUCAGAUUUAGAUGAUUAAAUUCAAACGUGUGGAUGUGGUUCAUUCUUUGAGCUCAGAGGGGCCCCGAUUUAGCUCUGUUGAGACAUCAACAAAGGAGGUUGCUUAACACCAAGUCUGGCGAAGCCACGGCGCUCAGCUGACUCACGAGCCUGUCCGCUCUGCACAGACCUGCUGGGAAGGCCUGGCUGCUCUCUGUGGAAAACAGCCCUGGUUUCAAAAACAUUACACUGGGCUUAUUUCACGUUAAUGUUGCAUUAGGAUCCUAGAGAACUUCAGUUACCAAAGUACUGAAAGCGUAUGUUGCAGGAAUAAUUUGCCAGUUCAGUGUUUCCCAUGAUAUUAUAUACACUAUGUGUGUGCGUGCAGAACUCACACAUAUAUAUAUACUUAAGUAUUUUUAUUUGUACGAAACUUGAACUGCACAAAACAGUACUUUGCAAGAAUCAAGAAUCAAGUCCACAAAUAGAGUUUAACAACACACCAAAGAAAAGACAGGAAGCUCUAUUGGGACAAGAAGAUUCAGCUUUGCAACGUAUGAAAUAAUUUUGGAACCACAGAUUCGUAAGCCUGCAGUGUUCCACUUGGGGUCUGGAUUCCCACUUUUGGGAUCCUUGGGAAGAAUGUGGGAACUGGGUCAGCUAUGCUCAUCUGAGAUUCCAAAGCUAAUGGGAAUUAAAGGACCCAGGCAAAUCACUUUGGGUAUAUAAUUGCCGUCAAGCAAUAUUUUUCUCCUCUUUAAGAAAAAAA
rnacentral:lncRNA from 1 species